rnacentral:rRNA from 1 species
UACGUAGGGGGCUAGCGUUGUCCGGAAUCAUUGGGCGUAAAGCGCGCGUAGGCGGCCCGGUAAGUCCGUUGUGAAAGUCAAAGGCUCAACCUUUGAAAGCCGAUGGAUACUGCCGGGCUGGAGUCCGGAAGAGGCGAGUGGAAUUCCUGGUGUAGCGGUGGAAUGCGCAGAUAUCAGGAGGAACACCGGUGGCGAAGGCGGCUUUCUGGGCCUUACCUGACGCUGAGGAGCGAAAGCUGGGGGAGCAAACAGG